rnacentral:rRNA from 1 species
UAGGGAAUCUUCGGCAAUGGACGAAAGUCUGACCGAGCAACGCCGCGUGAGUGAAGAAGGUUUUCGGAUCGUAAAACUCUGUUGUUAGAGAAGAACAAGGAUGAGAGUAGAAUGUUCAUCCCUUGACGGUAUCUAACCAGAAAGCCACGGCUAACUACGUGCCAGUAGCCGCGGUAAUACGUAGGUGGCAAGCGUUGUCCGGAUUUAUUGGGCGUAAAGCGAGCGCAGGCGGUUUCUUAAGUCUGAUGUGAAAGCCCCCGGCUCAACCGGGGAGGGUCAUUGGAAACUGGGAAACUUGAGUGCAGAAGAGGAGAGUGGAAUUCCAUGUGUAGCGGUGAAAUGCGUAGAUAUAUGGAGGAACACCAGUGGCGAAGGCGGCUCUCUGGUCUGUAACUGACGCUGAGGCUCGAAAGCGUGGGGAGCAAACAGG